ACUGGCAUAUAUGAUGACUGAACUUUUUUCCCCGGCAGAUCGACCAUGUUGAUCUAACUUCUCUAAGCCAGUGUGUCUGAUAUGCCAGC